rnacentral:lncRNA from 1 species
GGAAUUUAAUGAUUAAUAUACACCUAUUUAAUCAUUGCCACCUAAUCAAUGAUAACCAGAGACACAUCAGAGCUAUUAGUCUUUCUCUCUCUCUGAACAUGUCCGUGAAGUGGAACAUUUGCAUUGAAAAGAUAAGGAUGACGUAACAUCAGCGUAUGAUAAUGAACAAAUAGGCCUAGACCUACUUGCCAGUAAAAUGCUUUCAGGAAUCAUAAGAUCAAUGUGUUCUAACAUUUAUUACAAAUAUUUGUUCAAUAAAAUAUAAACAAUUUACAGAACGUUUUGCAAUUUGUUCGUUGAAGACAUUGCUAGUCGCCAAGUACUCUAGUAUCAAAUAACAUCAGUAUCAGUUUUCUGGUUUAAAACCCUUUAAAAACCGAACUUCACAACAACACUAGAGUAAAAGGUAUUAGCCAUUUAGACUCACGCACGCACACGCACACGCACACACACACAAGGUAGAGACCAUAUAGUAUAAAAAUAAAGUGAUCAUAAUCAAAUGAAGGUCAAACUGAAAUAAGUAAACCUUUUGCACAGGUUCAAAUCAAAGACAGCUCCUUACAAAAACAAACAACCAAACAAAUAAUUAGUGUCAAGACGAGCAAAACUGAACAACUAAGCCUAUCGUGCGUUUUACAUCAUAAUAAACAUUACUAAUAUGUGUAAUAAUGCUAUAAUGCUUCUGAACCAAAACAACAUGUAUAGGCCUAGUCAUAUGUGCAGUGUGUCAAGAGUUUGUAGCAGCAUCUGAAUACUUCUUCACUGUGUGGACACUUCACGCGUCUAAUGGUUAUCUUUAAGUUAAACGUGGACCACCACUGUUCUGCUGGAAUUCUCCAAAUCAUUCCGGUAUUGCUCGAGCCAGUUCCUCAGCUCUGAUAUCCGGUAGCCCUCCGGUCCCCUGCCCCCCUGAUACACGACCCGCUCAUCCCUCAGGAUAUAAAGUCUUUCAAAAUAGGCUCCGUAAGCCGCGUUGGACGAGUUGUCCAUAGUAUCCACCACCACAUUGCAGCAGGGAACCUCCGAGUGCAUCAGCUGAGCGGCUUUCAGUCUGUCCUCCAGACAGCAGUGCUUGGGGAUCUGGUAUGGCGCGUCGGAGCUCACCCAGCCGUCCGAGGGAUGCGCCUCCUCGAUAUAUACAAGCAGGGAGUCGGCGAUGUCCGCAUACUGGCUCGCGACGCGCUGAAACGCAGCCAGGCGCGUCAUGAACGGUGGUCAGGAGCAACUGCCGAAGUUGAGGAUGAGAGGUCUCCUCCCUUUCACAUAGUCUAGGACCCGGACCCUGCGCCGCUCCUGCAGCUGCACAACCUCGGUGUUGGGCGCGAUAAGUCCAAUGUGCGCCGAUUUGAAAAAGUCUAAUUUCUGUCCGUACCACACGGCCCUGAGCGACUCCAGGGUGAACAUCUUGUUGGAGUCGGAGACGCAGACAGGCGGGUCUUCGGGGCUGCUGCCCUCCAUCUUCAGCAGCACUUUCCUCCUGAUGCACAGGACGUCCAGGAGACACAGCAUCAGCGCUGCCAGGAGGAACCGGGGCAGCAGAACCAGACAUAGAGCUGUGUGUUUCAGGGCCAGCACCGUCAGGACACCUGCAGACUUCUGCAUCUCGCCCUGCCGAUGAUGUAUGGCCGGCAAUGUGCAGCGGGAUUUGAAUGAAAAACAACCCACCUCCACAGCUCGUGCCGCCCUCUCACAUGGCGGGGAUUACCUCCCGUCAACUGAGAGAGAGAGAGAGAGAUGGAUAGAGGAAGGGAGAGAGACAUAGAGAUAGAGAGAGUGUGUGUGUGUGUGAGAGAGAGAGGGAGAGAGAGAGAGAGGGGAUCACGGCCAUGGGUUCGUUUUUUUUUUGCAGACUCAAACCUGUCACGUCGAUAACUGGCACUUCUUUUGGGGUGAAUCAUUGUGGUUACCAGUAAAUGAACUCCAAAUGAAGAAAUAGCAUGAUUUACAACAACACCCGUUUGUGGGUCAGAAAGUGACGUCAAAUGAACAUUAGCCUAUGGUGAAUUUAAACUUGACAUACAUGUGAUCAAAACUCACACAUUUAGGGUUAAAAAAACAUACCCACCUCUUCAAAUCAAACACGAUGAUAAAGACGGAAUCUGUCAUUUUUGUGAUUAAAACAAAUUAGACUGUUGUGAUCAGUUUGAGAAGAAAUACAUAUUCCAUGUUCAUGCUUUUGAAUCGGGGACAUAAUGAAUAUAAACUUAUAGGAAUUAAAUAGGUCUAGAG